GCUGGGCGCAGUGGCUCACGCCUGUAAUCCUAGCACUUUGGGAGGCUGAGGCGGGUGGAUCACCUGAGGCCAGGAGUUCGUGACCAGCCUGGCCAACAUGGUGAAACCCCAUCUCUU
rnacentral:SRP_RNA from 1 species